rnacentral:rRNA from 1 species
UAAAAAUUUAAAUUUUAAUACUAAAGAAUUAAUAGUUAUGUUCUUUAAAUUUAAAAAAUUUGGCGGUAUUUUAGUCUAUUCAGAGGAACCUGUUCUGUAAUUGAUAUUCCACGAUUAGUUAUAUUUAAAUUAAAAAUUUGUAUAUCGUUGUUUAAAAAAUUUUAUAAGAAGAAUAAUUUUUAUAAAAUUAAAUUAAAUUAUUAAUCAAAUCAAGGUGCAGUUUAUAUUUAAAUAGAAAUGGGUUACAAUAAUAAUUAAUUAAAUGAAUUAAAGUUUUAAAUAUCUUUAUGAAGGUGGAUUUGAAAGUAAUUUUAUUUUAUUUAAAUAAAAUGAUUUUAGCUCUAAAAUAUGU